rnacentral:lncRNA from 1 species
GGGGAGAAUCUCCUUGGAGUCUGCUUGAUGGGCUUCUUGCCAUCCUUGAUAAGCAGCUUUAAUUCGACCAAGUCCCUCUUCAAACCAGGCAUCUCGUCGUAAUCCCAAGCGAAGCAAUCUUUGUUUUCUCUUAGCAAUUCAAUGACUCUUACUUUCAACUUGGGGUCCAGUUUAGUGCUGAUGUAGGUAAUUCUUUUUGUACACCCAUUUUUGAGAUCAAUUUCUUCAAGAGGAUCUUGCGCUAACAUAUUUGCACUUGACGUUACUGGAUCUUUUUUGAAUCCCAGAGGCUCUUCGUCGUAGAUGGCAUCUAACCUCUGUUCUGUUUGUUCCACGGGUACUUGUUCGUCAGGGGGUUUUGGUUUAGAGUACUCCCCAGGUCCUGUAUUAUAGAUUUCACCAUAUGUGGCUUUGUUAGCCAUGUUUGUUAUCUCGGCUUCGAGAGUCGCUUGUCUUUUGUUCUCAGCCAUGUAGGCCGAAAUCUUUUCGAGAAAAGAAGACUCAGUCAUAGUACAGGUCUUCAUCCCAGCCUGUUGGCCGUAUUUCAGAUGAUUCCCCUUCUUUUGGGUCUCCCAUAAUCUCCCUAUCCCACUGAAAGCCAUUUGGAUGAAGAGUCAAGAAGUACAAGGCAUUUUUAUUUGGGGCGUAGCCUUCUUCCGCUGGGUAGCAUGGUCCUAUGUGAGCCAAGUUUCUGUCGAAGUUUCUCUUGUCUACAUGGUUUACUUCUACCAUGAAGUAACUUUGGUCAGCUUCAACAUUCUCUACCACACCAUCUUCUCUCCAGAUGGAUAUCCUUUGAUGCAUGGUCGAAGGGACUGCCCCUAUUCCAUGUAUCCAUUCUCUCCCUAGUAGUAAGUUGUAAUUUGCCUUCGCGGGUAUUACCAUGAACAUUGUUGGUCUUGUGAUUGAUCCAACAGUCAGAUCCACUUAUAUGACACCCAAAGUCCGUCCUAUCUUACCCUCGUAAUUUGACAAUACCAUGUUGUGAGGUUUGACAUCAGUGUCGAACAUACCUAUCUUCUUUAACAUGAAUUGGGGCAUCAAAUUGACUGCUGCUUCUCCGUCCACCAAGACUUUAUUCACUCCCACCUGUCCAACUUUGGCCCUAAUGUAUAGGGGCUUGAGGUGACUCUGUAUCCCUUGGUGAGGCCUUUCAAAAAUAGCGUUCUGCUCUUCGACGGUGCCACUGUUGAGAACAUAGUAACACACUAGUUGAUGCUUCGCCAUCUCCACAACAUCCGUUUCCUCAUUAUCUUCAACCUCCGUCUCUUGGUUAUAUUCGUAUGGCAGAACUGAGACUACGUUACAAUUCAUAUUAACAGAAGACACUCGGUCGGACUCGAAGUCGUCAGUGAGCAUUUCCUCCUCUCUUACUUGUUCCUUCUGAACUUUCUGACUUAUGUUUUCAUCUGGAAAUAACUUCUUUCCUACAGGUGGUUUGGUCGAAUCCAUGACAUUUGGGGGAACCUUGACGCUACUGGAUUCUCUAGUCUCUUUUAGAUUCAUCUCUCUUUCAGCCUUCCGCAUCCUCUGAUGUCUUCUCCAACGGGAUCUCGACAUAGGAUUUUUUCCUUUAUAGUUUUCUAGCCUGAUAGCCUCUCUCUUUGAUGCCUGGAACUAUUUUCUAUACGCCCAAGAGGUUCUUCCUCCAUCCUCAAAACUUCUCCACUUUCCUUUCUUUGGUCCCGCCUGAGUCCAUUUGUCCUCAGGGACUUCUGCUGGCAGUUUAAACAUAACCCUUUUCGCCCUUGGGUGAGGGUUGUCUGGCCUCCUAGGUGCUCCCCUCUUAUCGAAGCUAUACAUGUUUGAGUUACCUCCAUGUCCAUCCCAACCUUGGUCAUAGGGGAUUCUUUCGAAUACUUCAGCUAAUUCCCCGUUGUACACUGCCCCACACCUGGGGCACAUCAAGCAUUUUGUUUCAUAUUUGUAGCAAUGCACAAUGAAACCAAGAAGGCUUUCUCCUGGCGUGGGAUACACCUUCUGCAAUUGGCUUUCCUUCCUCCAAUUUCUCUCAGUUUUUGUUCGUUGCCAUCUCUUGUAAUUCUCAGCCACCCUUCGACAUAUCCUGAUGAUGCAUCUUGGGCACAACAACAUAUCAGAAUUUCUUUUGUGACAUCUCCAAAGGUAUUCACGUAGGCUUUCUUUGGCUUUGGGAUAUCUAAACUUCAUCCCUUCUUGCCCCAUCUUCAGACAUUUCUCCACUUCCUCCAUUUCUAGGGGGGGGGUUAUUUCAGAUCCACCAUGUUGCCACCUAGACUGGCGCCAUCAGUGAUUGAAAUCUCCUCGAAUUUCUUUCUUAUGCCCUCAGUAGCCUCAGUUGCUUUCCCCUUGAGACCUUCAGUGGCCCUUGGUUCAACGUUAGCACCCUGUUUGCCUUUGACAGAGAUUCCAAAGGGAACAUCAUGAUUUAGGCAAUCAGUAGUCUGCUUUCCAUCUAGCGCAUGGCCUCCAGUUGUUGUUGCCUUUACAACCUCCACUUCCCCUACGUCAAUCAUGUUGAUUUCGACAGGUUCAACAUAGUUUGUAUCAGCAAUGUUGAGGGGAUCACAUUCAACGCGUUCAUUCUGUUCUUUCCUUAUAUCAGUCGGACCUUGAGAAGCGGCCAUCCCUUGACAUGUCUUAUCUCUGAAGUAAGCCGAUUCUCCCUAAAAGAAGCUUGUGAGUAUUUAUGGCCUAAAAAAUUGUGAUAUUUACAGAAGCCUCUUUUCUUUCGUUGUUCUAACGGAGGAAUUUUGGUAUUAGGAGGCACUAUCAUUUGGCCAUCUUUUACUAAUAAAUCGAAGAUUUCGUCACAUUUGGUAACAUCAAAUGUGUAAGUCUUUUUGGGAAAUCUAUCAUUCUUUUCAGUUUCGACAGGGUUCAUGCCAUUCGAAGGUGUAAGUAAUUUGCAGGCAUAAGGUGGUGCUUCUUUUAAUUCAGGCAAAUCCACUUUGAAUUCCUCAAGACCAUAAGCGUCAUCAGAGAUUUCAGACUCUCCGUCUUCGAAUUCGACAUAAGCAACCCUAUCUUUUUUAUAAUUCUUAUUCGCUCUGGCCUUUUCAGAUUUUAAGCGUUCAACCUGUCGAACCCUAUCUGCUAAUUGGGCCAUGUCUCUUAGAUGUUGGGUAUCUAACUUUUUCCUGAUGGAAUAGUCUAAACCUCCAGCGGCCAUUUCGACCAACUCGUGUUCAGGCACUAUUGUAAAGCAUCUAGAUUUCAAUAAACGGAACCUAUUCAGAUAAUCAUCUAUAGGUUCAGUGAAUUUUCUUUUGAUGCUGGCUAAUUCCUUAAGACUUAUCUUGGUUUGGCCCCAUGUAGAAUUGUUCAUGAAACAAUCUUUCCAACUGGGGCCAAGCAUCUAUGGAAUUUGGUGGCAAAGUUGUAAACCACGUGAAGGAGUUCUUUGUUAAAGAACUGAGGAAAUAUUUCAUCCUUAGGUUCUCACUGUUCGCCAAAUCCCCUGCCUCUGUCAUGUAUCUGGCUAUGUGUUCUAUAAUGGAUUCACUAGUGUCCCUUGAGAAUUUGGUGAACUUAGGGAUUUUACAACCCCUUGGUAAUUCUGUUUGGAGGACAUAUUCUGAUAAAGGAGAGGAAUAAUUUGGCCGUCGAAGUCCUGUAUUCAGGCCAUUCUGGGCCAUGAUUCUCUCUAUCAUACUAGUUAAAUCAUUUUCCAUCAUGUUUUCCCGCCUGACCCAAUGAAUUACUUCGUCUGCAUCCUGGUCUCUAUUAACCAUUAUCACUCUCCUAGGUUGUUCUUCAGGGACUUCCCAUCGAAUUGGCUGUUGUUCCAAUCUUGCCCCCAUGACUCUUUCGUCAGGGGCUUGCCUUGGUGGUCGAACCUAAUCUAUAGUUGGUUCUUCUCCCUGGAUUAUAACCUGGUUUGGCAUGCGUCAAACAGAAGAUUGUGGGGCGCCUAGGAAAUUUGCUAUGUGGCCCAUCUGUACUGACAGUUGUUGGUAUGUUUGGGCAUUAUCAGUGUUAGUCCUAUUCACAUUCUGUAUCAGGGGAGAAAAUAUGGUAUUCAUUUCUCUGGCCAGAACUCCUACCAUAUCAUGGUUACUGGCAUCCAUUUGUUGUCUAAAGGCUGCCUGGUUAUUAGUUGUAAGGGUAGGUAAUAGGGUGGGGACUCCUUGUGGUUGGGUAUUUCGACCUACAUGGUUCAUGCCAGAGCCAGAAUUUUGAAUUGGCGAAAUAACCGUAUUAUAUGGUUGAGUAUAUAUGGAAGAAUUGUUUUACAGUCCUGCCAUGGCAGUAGAUGUCAUUCCAUAUGGGUAUUCUCUCACAUGCCUAAAGUUCUCGAAUCCUGGUGGCCUAGGGGUUGAAAUUGUAUGAGUGUCUGCCGCGCCUGACAUAAUAGGCAUUGCUGUCGAAUUAUGCAAGGCCAUAGAUCCAGAUGUUGGUAUGGCCUGUGCAUUAGGGAUCUCAGUGGAUACAUCAAUCGAAUUUGCUCCGAUUGUGCUUAUUCCCUGGGGAGGGAAUUGUUCCCCUUGACUGGUUGUAUUAAUCAUCUUUUUUGCGUUUUUUCUGUUGGUUAUAGGUUGCGAAUUGUUGGCUAUCCUACCACUUCUAAGGAUCAUACAACACUAAUUUUUAAACCAAAAGAAUAACAACAAUUUUGCGAAUUGUAAAAGUAACACAAACUAUUGUAAUCAACAAUUCUUUUGACACUGUCCCACUGGGCGUGCCAAUUUGUUUACCAGUGAUUUCUGAUAAACAACCGCUAGUCUUUCAAAUUUAUAUAUUUUUUGUAACUUACAAGAUCGACUAGAUUGAUCCUAGGACAUGUGUCUCAAGAACUAUUAUUACGGUGAUUUGACUCAUGGUUAAGUUUGUUUCUGGUUUAUGGACAACGAAAAGUGUUUUGACAACAGUUCUAAACGAAAACUUAUGACUUUAUGAGCAAAGUAAAUGAUGAUAACUUUGUAGUAAAAGGUUUUUUAAGGAUAACGGAAAUACUUGGAAAGGGUAAAGAUAAGUGACUCGAAGUAAAUGCUUUAAGUUUUGAGAAAGUACUGGAAAUGAAGACUUGGCGAAAUGUAAACGCAAAAGUAAAAAUGAUGAUAAAAUACUGAAAAUAAAGGCAAUUCGACAGAAUAAAAGGCAGUGAAUAACUUUAAUUUAAAUGACUUGCAUGAAAUAGAUAACAUGAACGAAACUUAUGGUGUUCUUCAUACAUACAUUUUCAGCGUAAAACUCUUUUCUCUCGCUCUAGUACUUCGAGUAUAUUUUGUGAAUUUUUGUAUAAUUUUCAGCGUAAAACUCUUUUCUCUCGCUCUAGUACUUCGAGUAUAUUUUGUGAAUUUUUGUAUAUCUGUUUGAACACCCUGAAAUCUAAAACUAAGACCCCUAUUUAUAACAAUUCGACCCUAACGACCUCUACACAGAUGACUGCCACGUUCAAUCUUCCCAAGCUUUGCAUGUCUCAGAUGUUUCCACGUGUUGGCCUGACAAAACUGCUUCGUUCAAAUUUUAAAUCUUUCCCGCUUUGAAGCUUCGACUCUGUCAAAACACCUACGUCGAAGAGAGCUUUGUGGAGACCAAAAAAUCUUCUAAGUUUCAGGCUUCGACAAGAAAGAUUUGUUUACCCAAGAAAAGUAUUCAACAAACAGCUUCGACACAACCAUUUUUUAUUUAUUCUCCAAAACGUAACACUUCCAAAGAACUUCAACUAUCUGUCGAAAUCUCCAGCUAACAACCACAUGAUAACAAACCUUGUGGAAUGGAUGAACGACGUAUUCAAAGACAUUAGAAAUCUACCAAUAACCGCAUUGGUCAGAACAACCUAUUUUAGGUUGACAUCUACCUUUGCAACCAGAGGUGAAAGAUGGAGUGCAGUGUUAAUGUCAAGUCAAUUAUUCAGUGAAUGUUGUAUGAAAGUGAUGAAAGAGGAAACUAUCAAAGCUAGCACACACGCGGUUACAAUCUUUGACCUCCAUAAGCAAAAUUUUAGUGUGCAAGAAACAAUGGACCACAAUGAGGGGAGGCCAAAUUUAUCCUAUGCUGUCAGACUAAACAGAAGUUGGUGCGACUGUGGAAAGUUCUGGGUCUUCCGUAUUCCUUGCACCCAUGUCAUUGUGACAUGCGCAUAUACUCGUUAGAACGUUUACAACCAUCUAUCUGAUGUUUACAAGGCCAUUACCGUCAUGAAUGUUUAUAAAGAAAGCUUCUUAGUGCUAGAAAUUGAGGAAUACUAGCCUCCAUAUGAAGGGGAGAUGGUUUGGUACAACGAUGAGAUGCGAAGAAAGAAAAAAAGACGGUCAAACAACACGCGUAUUAGAGCAGAAAUGAAUAUGGCUGAUAAAGUGAUAAGAUUAUGUAAUAUAUGUCGUCAACCUGGACACAAUAAGAAAAAAUGUCUCAAUCUAUGAGUAAUCUCUACAUCAUAAUUUAGUAUCUCCUUUCAAUUUUUGUAACCUUUGAUUUUGAUAUAUUAAUAACUUUUUGUUAUAACAAGAUUAACAACAAACAUCACUCCAAACUGAUGUCAUCUGGUCCAAACAUCACUUUCUAACAUCCUUAUCAAUUUUUAUUCGCACCCAACCACAUACGCCAUCGAGUCUCUCAAUACUUCUAAUUUUCCCCCUUCAGGUAUGAUUCCAUCUAACCAACGAACUAGCUCCCUCUUUAGUGGCUCGAAACGACAAAUAUUCCAAAACAUCAUCUCCAUUGGAGGUUUGUCUCUCGAAUAAAUCACUUUUCCAUAGCGGCGACGAAGACGAAACAUGUUUGCAAUAUAAUGAAAAGAGAUGUGGAAAAAUGAAUCACUACCUAUUUAUACAAAAAAAAUUUUACACAAUACACGGAGGCGCCAUAUCAAUUGGCGUCUCCUCUCACUUUAUACACAUGAAUGUCAAAUGGAUUGACAACACCCUGUGUUGUAGUCAAUUCAAUUGACGUUUCCUAUUUAAAAUUAAGAGUAAACGCCAAUUGCUGAUACCUACGCAUUAACGUUUUUUUUUAAACUAGGAUAGUUUGAGAAAUAAUUAAAAAAAUAGAUUAUUUUGAAUUUUUAAAAAAAUAUUAAAUAUUUGAGUAAAAAAUGCACAAAUAUAUACAUUAAUGGUUCAAUAAAUAACUUUUUAAAAAAUAAUAACGACGAAUAUUAUAAUAGGGACAAAGAUAUUUUAAAUGAGAGAAAAAUAUCUCAACGAAUAUACCAGAGUAUGGCCCAGCGGCGCACACAAGUAUAGGAUUCCACGUAGCCCUAGUUUUAACCCUAUCUUUAACCUAGUUAACAAAUCCCCAGCUAUAUAAUACCCCUUGCAUUCAGUGCCCAAAAUAUCUUUCUUUUACAUCUAUUGUUUCUCCGUCCCUUAUUUGAGUUUUUCGAUGGCCUCUUCCGAUGCUGAGUACCGGUGCUUCGUCGGUGGCCUUGCCUGGACCACCGACAGCGAUGGCCUCGCCAAAGCCUUCUCUACUUACGGCGAAAUUACCGAUUCCAAGGUCCGUUUGUUGCAGGCUUGGAUCUGACAUGAUCUGGAUUCGAAUCGCAUUCUGAUCUGUGAUCUCUUUGUUACUUGAUCUAUCCUGUUACUGUUACUGUUUCUGUUACUAUAUCAUAUGAUUCUUAUGUUACUCACACCAAUAGGUACGUUCAUCUUCAUCUUUUCACCAAAAGGCGAAGAUUGAUCGGUUACUAUUCGGUUCUGGAACUGUUUUUCCUGUUUGUUAUUAGAUCUGAGUUUUUUAAAUUGUUUUGAUUGUUCAGGUUAUUAUGGAUCGCGACACUGGAAGGUCGAGAGGUUUUGGAUUUGUGACUUUUGCUGCGGAGCAAUCUAUGAGAGAUGCGAUUGAAGGGAUGAACGGUCAGGAUGUUGAUGGUCGUAAUAUUACUGUGAAUGAAGCUCAGUCUCGUGGUAGAGGAGGAGGAGGAGGCGGCGGUGGUGGAUAUGGUGGAGGAGGUGGGGGUUAUGGUGGUGGGGGUGGUCGCCGUGAAGGUGGAUACAACAGAAACGGUGGUGGCGGUGGGGGAUAUGGCGGUGGAGGAGGUGGAUAUGGCGGUGGAGGAAAUGGUGGAUAUGGUGGUGGAAGGGAUCGUGGUUAUGGAGGCGGUGGUGGUGAUAGAUAUGGUGGCGGAGGCGGCGGUGGUGAUAGAUAUGGCGCUGGUGGAGGAGGCGGUGGUGAUAGAAGGAUCGUGGUUAUGGAGGCGGUGGUGGUGAUAGAUAUGGUGGCGGAGGCGGCGGUGGUGAUAGAUAUGGCGCUGGUGGAGGAGGCGGUGGUGAUAGAUAUGGAGGCGGCGGUGGUGGCGGCUACUCUCGUGGUGGCGGCGGUGGCAGUGGUGGAAACUGGAGGGAUUAGGCUAAAGUUUUAUCCGUUUGGGAUUUAGGCUUAUGAAAUUCUCAUAUUGUUUUAGAUGGAUGAUUUAGUUGCUUGGAUAUUAUGUUAUGAUAUUAUGUUAUGGUAUUUGUUUUGUUAUGGUUUAGUGUUCCCGUGUCUCGUUUUUGUACUUCUGAAUCUAGUUGUAUAUAAACGAUCCAUUGAAAUGAUAAACUCCAUCAAUUUUCUUAGUAUUUUUCUAUUCGAUUGUUUGAUUCAAACCUGUUUGAUUAGUUGUAAUUUGAAUGUUUUGAAAUAUAGCAUAAUAAAUCGUAUGAAAA